ACCAGCCUCCCUACAGAAGAUGAUACCAAGAUAGCACUACAUCUAAAAGAUAAUGGAGCUUCUACAGAUGACAGUGCAGCUGAGAAGAAAGGGGGAACCCUCCACGCUGGCCUCAUCAUUGGAAUCCUCAUCCUGGUCCUCAUUGUAGCCACAGCCAUUCUUGUGACAGUCUAUAUGUAUCACCACCCAACAUCAGCAGCCAGCAUCUUCUUUAUUGAGAGACGCCCAAGCAGAUGGCCUGCGAUGAAGUUUAGAAGAGGCUCUGGACAUCCUGCCUAUGCUGAAGUUGAACCAGUUGGAGAGAAAGAAGGCUUUAUUGUAUCAGAGCAGUGCUAAAAUUUCUAGGACAGAACAACACCAGUACUGGUUUACAGGUGUUAAGACUAAAAUUUUGCCUAUACCUUUAAGACAAACAAACAAACACACACACAAACAAGCUCUAAGCUGCUGUAGCCUGAAGAAGACAAGAUUUCUGGACAAGCUCAGCCCAGGAAACAAAGGGUAAACAAAAAACUAAAACUUAUACAAGAUACCAUUUACACUGAACAUAGAAUUCCCUAGUGGAAUGUCAUCUAUAGUUCACUCGGAACAUCUCCCGUGGACUUAUCUGAAGUAUGACAAGAUUAUAAUGCUUUUGGCUUAGGUGCAGGGUUGCAAAGGGAUCAGAAAAAAAAAAUCAUAAUAAAGCUUUAGUUCAUGAGG
rnacentral:lncRNA from 10 species